rnacentral:lncRNA from 1 species
AAGGACACUGCUGAAAGAAUGAAGGGGGAGGAUCUCAGAUACGCUUACGACGCUGUACGGGUGGCCAACAAGUCAGUUUCUUUCUGCUCAUCUCAUGUCCAUCAGACUGAUACUCUGGGAGUCAUAAAUGACUUAUAUUAUACGCAUCACAUUUUACGCUUUCAGGUUCCUAGAGAGGCAGCUGUUGUCUCAGAGAGCGCAGUGGGAGCAGGAGAUAUCAGAUCUCAGGAUGAAACUCCAGCAGGCUCAAGACAGAGAUACACCUGGAGAUCCUGAGAUAAAUGACCUAACAGAGCUGGUGAUGGUUCAAGAGCAGGAAUGUGUCCGGUUGCGACGGGAACUCAAGGAACUGAAACACACCGUGAGCCUCAGGAGAAUCCUGUCUUAUGCAGGUCUGUGUAGAUCCAAAACAUAUUUGGACACCUACUGUAAACUACACUCUUAAAAAUAAAGGGGAUGCCGUGGAGGAACCAGUUUUGGUUUGCAAAGAACCUUUCAGUGAACCCUUCUUAAAAGAACCAUUUUUAAAUUUGUGUGAAGAACUUUUUAAAAAUCUGAAGAACUUUUUUUCCAUCAUAAGGAAUUUUUUUUUGGAAUGGGAAGGUUCCAUUGAUGGUAAAGGUUCUUCAUGGAGCCAUAGAUGCCAAUAAAGAACUUUAUUUUUAAGAUUGUACCAUAGGAUUUUUUAAUGUUUUGAAAGAAGUCUCUUAUGCUCACCAAAGCUGCAUUGAUUUGAUCAAAAAUACAGUAAAAAUAGUAAUAUUGUGAAAUAUUAUUACAAUUUAAAAUAACUGUUUUCUGUUUGAAUAUAUGUAAAAAUUUAAUUUAUUCCUGUAAUGGAAAGCUCAAUUUCCAGCAUCAUUACUCCAGUCUUCAGUGUCACAUAAUCCUUCAGAAAUCACUCUGAUUUGCUGCUCAAGACACAUUUCAUAUUAUUAUUAAUGAUAAAAUCAGUUUUGCUGCUUAAUAUUUUUGUGGAACCCAUUAUAAUUUUUUCUUUUAAAGCAAACAAACAAAAAAUGUUUGAACUUUAAAAUAUCUGAACACCACUACAUUUCAUAUUAAUAUAAUCAAAUCAGUUUUUUUUUUGUACUUUAAUGAAAAUUAGCACAAACGCACUUCUCAACCAAAAAAAAUUCAGAAAAAGAAGUUUGUUAUAAGUUUCAAAUCAUGGUACAAUAGAUAUAAUAUUGAAAAUGUAUUUAAUGCUCAGGUGUGGCCAUAGCAGCGUCCCAGGACGCAACAUCUCCUGCCCCUCAGAAGAGCCAGAUGCUCACCGGACUGCUGGAGUGCAGGAAGAAAGAUGAGAGCAAGCUGAUCAAACACCUCAUAACCGGUCAGCAACAUACAACACUUUGAGUUUAGUUUUAAGACUAUAAUUCAUGCGCACUGAGUGGACUGAAUGUUUCUCCGUGGCAGAUGUGAGGGCAGAAGGUGUCUUGUCUCUGCCCCCUGGACUGGCGGCUCGGGUUCUGUUUCUGUGUGUACGGCAGGCGGACUGCAGCGGUGAUCAGACGCGGGUGAAGGGGCUCUGCAGCGCUACUGUGAGCGCCAUUAAAACCACCCUGAAGGUGAACAACUAACUUUGAUUUUACUAGCAUUUAUAUCUUUAGCAUUUAUCACAGUGUGCCACAAAUAAUUCAUUUCAACUCAUCAGUUUGUAUCAGUUUCCACAGUUUGUAUGUAUUUAUUCAUAAAUAAUAAUAUAUUCAAUAUAUAAAAUU